rnacentral:rRNA from 1 species
AGGUUAAGCUACUAAGAGCACACGGAGGAUGCCUAGGCACUAGGAGCCGAAGAAGGACGUGGCGAACAACGAUACUGCCUCGGGGAGCUGUAAGCAAGCGUCGAUCCGAGGAUGUCCGAAUGGGGAAACCCGGCUGGAUUAAUCUCCAGUCACUCAUACCUGAAUACAUAGGGUAUGAAGAGGCAUACCAGGGGAACUGAAACAUCUAAGUACCCUGAGGAAGAGAAAACAAUAGUGAUUCCGUCAGUAGCGGCGAGCGAACGCGGAACAGCCCAAACCAGGGAGCUUGCUCUCUGGGGUUGUAGGACGUCUCACAUGGAGUUACCAAGGAUUAGGGUAGGCGAAGAGGUCUGGAAAGGCCCGCUAAAAGAGGUAAAAGCCCUGUAGCCGAAAUUCUAAUCCCUCCGAGACGAAUCCUGAGUAGUGCGGGGCACGUGAAACCCCGUAUGAAUCCGGCAGGACCAUCUGCCAAGGCUAAAUACUCCCUAGUGACCGAUAGUGAAGCAGUACCGUGAGGGAAAGGUGAAAAGCACCCCGGAAGGGGAGUGAAAUAGAUCCUGAAACCGUGUGCUUACAAGAAGUCAGAGUCCUCUAUAUGGAUGAUGGCGUGCCUUUUGUAGAAUGAACCGGCGAGUUACGUUUGCAAGCAAGGUUAAGGUGAGAAGCCGGAGCCGCAGCGAAAGCGAGUCUGAAUAGGGCGACUAAGUUUGUAGGCGUAGACCCGAAACCGUGUGAUCUACCCCUGUCCAGGGUGAAGGUGCGGUAACACGCACUGGAGGCCCGAACCCACGUACGUUGAAAAGUGCGGGGAUGAGGUGGGGGUAGCGGAGAAAUUCCAAUCGAACUCGGAGAUAGCUGGUUCUCCCCGAAAUAGCUUUAGGGCUAGCCUCGGAAAGAAGAGUCGUGGAGGUAGAGCACUGAUUGGGUGCGGGGCCCGCCAAGGGUUACCAAGCUCAGUCAAACUCCGAAUGCCAUAGACUUAUUAUCCGGGAGUCAGACAGUGAGUGCUAAGAUCCAUUGUCAAAAGGGAAACAGCCCAGACCAUCAGCUAAGGUCCCCAAGUGUGUGUUAAGUGGGAAAGGAUGUGGAGUUGCACAGACAACCAGGAUGUUGGCUUAGAAGCAGCCACCAUUUAAAGAGUGCGUAAUAGCUCACUGGUCGAGUGACUCUGCGCCGAAAAUGUAACGGGGCUAAACACACCACCGAAGCUAUGGCUUGAUACUUAUGUAUCAGGGGUAGGGGAGCGUUGUAUGCGGAUUGAAGUUGGACCGGAAGGACUGGUGGACUGCAUACAAGUGAGAAUGCCGGUAUGAGUAACGAAAAGAUCAGUGAGAAUCUGAUCCGCCGAAAGCCCAAGGUUUCCUGAGGAAGGUUCGUCCGCUCAGGGUAAGUCGGGACCUAAGGCGAGGCCGAAAGGCGUAGUCGAAGGACAACAGGUUGAAAUUCCUGUACCACCGUAAGCCGUUAUGAGCAAUGGGGUGACGCAGGAGGGUAGUGACGCGAGCUGAUGGAUGCUCGUCCAAGCAGUGAGGCUGAUGUGUAGGCAAAUCCGCACAUCGAUAAGGCUGGGCUGUGAUGGGGAGGGAAAAUUUAUAGUACCGAAGGUCAUGAUCUCACACUGCCAAGAAAAGCCUCUAGCCAGGUGAAGGUGCCCGUACCGCAAACCGACACAGGUAGGCGAGAAGAGAAUUCUAAGGCGCGCGGAAGAACUCUCGUUAAGGAACUCGGCAAAAUGACCCCGUAACUUAGGGAGAAGGGGUGCCCCGGUAGUGUGAAUAGCACGAGGGGGCCGCAGUGAAAAGGCCCAAGCGACUGUUUAGCAAAAACACAGGUCUGUGCGAAGCCGCAAGGCGAAGUAUACGGGCUGACGCCUGCCCGGUGCUGGAAGGUUAAGGGGAGUGGUUAGGGGUAACCCGAAGCUAUGAACCGAAGCCCCAGUAAACGGCGGCCGUAACUAUAACGGUCCUAAGGUAGCGAAAUUCCUUGUCAGGUAAAUUCUGACCCGCACGAAUGGCGUAACGACUUGGGCGCUGUCUCAACGAGAGAUCCGGUGAAAUUUUAAUACCUGUGAAGAUGCAGGUUACCCGCGACAAGACGGAAAGACCCCAUGGAGCUUUACUGCAGCUUGAUAUUGGACUUUGAUACGAUUUGUACAGGAUAGGUGGGAGCCUAGGAAGCCGGAGCGCCAGCUUCGGUGAAGGCGCCGUUGGGAUACCACCCUGAUCGUGUCGGAGUUCUAACCUAGUACCGUGAUCCGGUGCGGGGACAGUGUCAGGCGGGCAGUUUGACUGGGGCGGUCGCCUCCUAAAGAGUAACGGAGGCGCCCCAAGGUUCCCUCAGAAUGGUUGGAAAUCAUUCGAAGAGUGCAAAGGCAAAAGGGAGCUUGACUGCGAGACUGACAAGUCGAGCAGGGACGAAAGUCGGGCUUAGUGAUCCGGUGGUACCGCAUGGAAGGGCCAUCGCUCAACGGAUAAAAGCUACCCUGGGGAUAACAGGCUUAUCUCCCCCAAGAGUCCACAUCGACGGGGAGGUUUGGCACCUCGAUGUCGGCUCAUCGCAUCCUGGGGCUGAAGUAGGUCCCAAGGGUUGGGCUGUUCGCCCAUUAAAGCGGUACGCGAGCUGGGUUCAGAACGUCGUGAGACAGUUCGGUCCCUAUCUGUCGUGGGCGUAGGAAAUUUGAGAGGAGCUGUCCUUAGUACGAGAGGACCGGGAUGGACGCACCGCUGGUGCACCAGUUGUUCCGCCAGGAGCAUAGCUGGGUAGCUAAGUGCGGAAGGGAUAAGCGCUGAAAGCAUCUAAGCGUGAAGCCCCCCUCAAGAUGAGAUUUCCCAAUUAGUAAGACCCCUUGAAGACGACGAGGUUGAUAGGCCUGAGGUGGAAGUGCAGCAAUGUAUGGAGCUGACAGGUACUAAUCGGUCGAGGGCUUAUCCAAA